ACAGUUCCAAUUCGAUAUGCUCCACCAAAGUCCUGCCCCUAAGAAGAACGUGAAGAAAACUGGAUUAAAAGAGAGAUCAAGGACAGGCAGAAGGGAGAAGAGGAAGGAUAGGAAGUGCGGAUGCUGAUUCCAGGAGAAGGCAUCUAGAGUGAGUCCAUAGUUUAGCAACAUGAAUGGUGUCACAGGAACACAAGUGUAAAGCUGCAGUCAUCGAACUGACUCUUCUGGACACAUAACCUGAAGUGCUCAUUUAUACCUGUACGUGAGCCAAAGAAAGUGACUUGUACAUAUAUGCUAAAUGAAUGAAUGGGUAGAUGUAAAAACAACUGCAGUGUGGCAAAGUAGAGAAGGCAAUAAGGGUAGAAGAUUAAAAAUAUCACCAAAACAGCCUCAAGCCUGUAACUCCAGGGCAGAAACAGAAGUCUGUAAACCUGUCCCCAAGCUGACAUCACCUAUCCUCAACUGCAAUCAAACAGAAAUACAGCAGAAGCAACUGAGUACUCAGACCCAUUCUCUUCUUUUGUCUCCCUGAAUUUUAAUCCUGAGAAUAAACCAGAUG